CGCUGCCUCCCCCAGCCCACCCCGGUGUCUUUGCUCCUGCUGCCUGCUUCCCUUGGAACACCCUUUCCAGGAACUCAAAUUGGGUCUUUGGAACCGGACGGAGUUUCUCCUCCCCCUCCUCCCCUCCCCCUCCUGCCCCUCCCCCACCCCUGCCCCUCCUCCCCUCCCCCACCCCUGCCCCUCCUCCUUCUCGGUGGGGCUUCUCCUCUCACUGAGCUGUUUCCUCUGCCCUUAUCUCCGUAGCCGGGUGAAGCUAGAGUUAUCUGGGUCCGUUGGAAUCUCACAGGGAGCGAACAGCCACCCCCACUCAGGCCCCGCCCCCGGCCCAUUCACUCGGAAUCUGUGGGGCGGAGCUGUCUACGGGCUCCCUGGGCUGAGCCCGCCUGUCUGCUGGCGGGAAGCCAGAGGUCCGGGCUGAGGUCCCUGUGCCACAGGUUCUCAGCACGAUGCCUUACUGCGCGAGCCCAAACUUGUGUGCCUCAGCUUCCUUGUCGGCUUCGAGGGGAUAAAGAUGCCUGUCCUGGGCUGGCCUGGGGUUGGGUGGUGCCCCUGCAUCCCCAAGUGGAUGGUGAGCCAGAGGGCAGGAGCCACAGCUUCCUCGGUGCUGCGUGCAGAAGGGGAAGAAGGGCAGCCGGUGGGAACCGGGACCCAGGCGGAGAGGAAGGCCAGGUGUCUCCACUUAUCAUAAGAGUCUCCAGCGUACAGUUCUCGGUACAGUUCUCCAGAGUAAGUGGCUGCUCAGCUGACCCUGGCCCUCUGUGAAGACCUGCUACUGUCCACCUCUCUCUCCACAUCCUUCCCACCCAUCACUCGGCACCAGUCCCUAAAGGAUUUCUCAUAAGGGUUUCAAAAAGCUUGAAGUGAGCUUGGUUCUGAAGCUGCUGAAUCUAGAGAGUCACUGAAAAUGAAUCAAAAGUCACUACACAAAAACCAACAUCAGGACUUUCCUGGUGGCUCAGUGGAUAAGGAUCCCCAUGCCAAAGCAGGGGACAUGGGUUCCAUCCCUGGUCGGGGAAGAUUGCACAUGCUGCAGAGCAACUGAGCCCAUGCACCAUGACCACUGAGCCUGAGCUCUAGAGCCCUCGAGCCGCGAUUACUGAAUCCACGUGCCCCAGGGCCAGCAGCUCUCAACUCCUGAGCUUGCAUGCUCCUGAGCCCGUGAGCCUAGAGCCUGUGCUCUGCGACAAGAGAAGCCGCCACAGUAAGAAGCCUGUUCACUGCAACUUGAGAGAAGGCCCCGCUCUCCGCAGCCUGGUUGCAGCAACGAAGACCCAGCGCAAACAAAAAUUGUUGUUCAGUCGCUCAGUUGUGUCCAACUGUUUGCGACCCCAUGGACUGCAGCACGUCAGGCUUCCCAGUCCUUCACUAUCUCCUGGAGUUUGCUCAAGCUCACGUCCAUUGAGUCAGUGAUGCCAUCCAACCAUCUCAUCGUCUGUCACACCCCUUCUCCUCCUGCCCUCAACCUUUCCCAGCAUCAGGGUCUUUUCCAAUGAGUUGGCUCUUCGCGUCAAGUGGCCGAUGUAUUGGAGCUUCAGCUUCAGCAUCAGGAUAAACAAAAAUAAUUUAAUUUUAAAAAACCAACAUCUGAUGCAUCAGAGAUUUAAGCAUUAAAACAAAAAGUAAAGCCAUGAAAGCAACUUAAGAAUGUAGGAAAAUGUUUGUUGCUCUUGUCGUGUUGUGUGUGGCUUGCAGAGUCUCAGUUCCCCAACCAGGGACUGAACUUGGGCCACUCCAAUGAAAACCUGGAAUCCUAACCACUAGG
rnacentral:lncRNA from 1 species